rnacentral:rRNA from 1 species
CAGCCGCCGCGGUAAUACCGGCGGCCCGAGUGGCGGCCACUCUUAUUGGGCUUAAAGCGUCCGUAGCCGGGUUGGUUAGUCUCCCGGGAAAUCUGGCCGCUUAACGGUCAGAAUUCCGGGAGAUACUGCCAGCCUAGGGACCGGGAGAGGCCGAGGGUAUUCCCGGAGUAGGGGUGAAAUCCUAUAAUCCCGGGAGGACCACCUGUGGCGAAGGCGCUCGGCUGGAACGGGUCCGACGGUGAGGGACGAAGGCCAGGGGAGCAAACCGGAUUAGAUACCCGGGUAGUCCUGGCUGUAAACGAUGCGGACUUUGUGUCGGACAAGCUAUGAGCUUGUCCGGUGCCGGAGGGAAACCGUUAAGUCCGCCGCCUGGGGAGUACGGCCGCAAGGCUGAAACUUAAAGGAAUUGGCGGG